AGAGUUUGAUCCUGGCUCAGGAUGAACGCUGGCGGCGUGCUUAACACAUGCAAGUCGAACGAUGAUCCCAGCUUGCUGGGGGAUUAGUGGCGAACGGGUGAGUAACACGUGAGUAACCUGCCCUUAACUCUGGGAUAAGCCUGGGAAACUGGGUCUAAUACCGGAUAUGACUCCUCAUCGCAUGGUGGGGGGUGGAAAGCUUUAUUGUGGUUUUGGAUGGACUCGCGGCCUAUCAGCUUGUUGGUGAGGUAAUGGCUCACCAAGGCGACGACGGGUAGCCGGCCUGAGAGGGUGACCGGCCACACUGGGACUGAGACACGGCCCAGACUCCUACGGGAGGCAGCAGUGGGGAAUAUUGCACAAUGGGCGAAAGCCUGAUGCAGCGACGCCGCGUGAGGGAUGACGGCCUUCGGGUUGUAAACCUCUUUCAGUAGGGAAGAAGCGAAAGUGACGGUACCUGCAGAAGAAGCGCCGGCUAACUACGUGCCAGCAGCCGCGGUAAUACGUAGGGCGCAAGCGUUAUCCGGAAUUAUUGGGCGUAAAGAGCUCGUAGGCGGUUUGUCGCGUCUGCCGUGAAAGUCCGGGGCUCAACUCCGGAUCUGCGGUGGGUACGGGCAGACUAGAGUGAUGUAGGGGAGACUGGAAUUCCUGGUGUAGCGGUGAAAUGCGCAGAUAUCAGGAGGAACACCGAUGGCGAAGGCAGGUCUCUGGGCAUUAACUGACGCUGAGGAGCGAAAGCAUGGGGAGCGAACAGGAUUAGAUACCCUAGUAGUCC
rnacentral:rRNA from 1 species